UACGGAGGGUGCAAGCGUUAAUCGGAAUUACUGGGCGUAAAGCGUGCGUAGGUGGUUCGUUAAGUCCGUUGUGAAAGCCCCGAGCUUAACUUGGGAAUUGCGCUUGUGACUGGCGUGCUGGAGUGUGGCAGAGGGAGGUGGAAUUCCACGUGUAGCAGUGAAAUGCGUAGAGAUGUGGAGGAACACCGAUGGCGAAGGCAGCCUCCUGGGCCAGCACUGACGCUGAGGCGCGAAAGCGUGGGGAGCAAACAGG
rnacentral:rRNA from 1 species